AGAAACGUAUGCGAGAGAUAUAUGCGCCGACAGACUCUGACUCGCUCCACAGUCCGUCAUCAUUCGCCGAGGCCUCGUACGUCUCGAAAUCGAAACACAACUACGCGAAUUCGAUAGUAACUAGUCUAUAACCCCAGCUAAUUUUUAACUUCGCAGUGGUGAUGCGGACAGUAAACGUUUACAGUUGUGCCAACAGCAGUACUCUCCAUGCAGUGACGAGGUCCACGUCGCUGUGAUCAACGACAAGCAUGACAGAGCUCCGGAACAGCAUGCUUGGAGCCCUACUACCAAGCCAUGUGAUCAGGCAUAUGAUUGCGAAGACUUUUCGUAAGAAUCCCAUUUCAAGUCAUAUGACGUGAAAGU